GAUGAACGCUGGCGGCGUGCCUAAUACAUGCAAGUCGAGCGAACGGACGAGAAGCUUGCUUCUCUGAUGUUAGCGGCGGACGGGUGAGUAACACGUGGAUAACCUACCUAUAAGACUGGGAUAACUUCGGGAAACCGGAGCUAAUACCGGAUAAUAUUUUGAACCGCAUGGUUCAAAAGUGAAAGACGGUCUUGCUGUCACUUAUAGAUGGAUCCGCGCUGCAUUAGCUAGUUGGUAAGGUAACGGCUUACCAAGGCAACGAUGCAUAGCCGACCUGAGAGGGUGAUCGGCCACUCUGGAACUGAGACACGGUCCAGACUCCUACGGGAGGCAGCAGUAGGGAAUCCUCCGCAAUGGGCGAAAGCCUGACGGAGCAACGCCGCGUGAGUGAUGAAGGUCUUCGGAUCGUAAAACUCUGUUAUUAGGGAAGAACAUAUGUGUAAGUAACUGUGCACAUCUUGACGGUACCUAAUCAGAAAGCCACGGCUAACUACGUG
rnacentral:rRNA from 1 species